rnacentral:rRNA from 1 species
UACGUAGGGUGCAAGCGUUAAUCGGAAUUACUGGGCGUAAAGCGUGCGCAGGCGGUUUUGUAAGUCAGACGUGAAAUCCCCGGGCUUAACCUGGGAAUUGCGUUGGAGACUGCAAGGCUAGAAUCUGGCAGAGGGGGGUAGAAUUCCACGUGUAGCAGUGAAAUGCGUAGAGAUGUGGAGGAACACCGAUGGCGAAGGCAGCCCCCUGGGUCAAGAUUGACGCUCAUGCACGAAAGCGUGGGGAGCAAACAGG